rnacentral:rRNA from 1 species
UACGUAGGGUGCAAGCGUUAAUCGGAAUUACUGGGCGUAAAGCGUGCGCAGGCGGUUAUAUAAGACAGUUGUGAAAUCCCCGGGCCUCAACCUGGGAACUGCAUCUGUGACUGUAGUAGCUAGAGUACGGUAGAGGGGGAUGGAAUUCCGCGUGUAGCAGUGAAAUGCGUAGAUAUGCGGAGGAACACCGAUGGCGAAGGCAAUCCCCUGGACCUGUACUGACGCUCAUGCACGAAAGCGUGGGGAGCAAACAGG